GUUCAUUUAACAGGAUAGAGGGGAAGGAAAAACGGUCGCCAUAUUUUGGGCGGAGACUGCGAUACAUUUGCCUGUUUCAUUGGAUGAAAAGAUCGAUCUGGUGCAUCAGCUGCACGCGCCUGCCCAGUGAACAUUCUCUGAUACCUUGCGACUCGUUUCACUUAGCGGGAGUACUGUACCGAGUACCGUUUCAACCCCCUAAAAGCGAUACUCAUUGCUUUCUAGAAAAAGUGUACGCUUCGAGUACCUUUAUUGGAAGAAAACUGUACUGAAACAUUUUCCAGACAGUUCUGGAAUAGUCUUAUGUAAUUAUGGGAGGUAGGAUUCAGAGGAACAACGAUGCAUUUAUUCUGCUGAAGUUUCUGAGAGCCAGUUUCUUUUCACGGUGUCGCUAUCGGAAUCGAAAUCUCCGGGCAAAUAAACAGCGCACGAGUUCCCAGCCAUUGAUCGUGAGCAAUAUAAAUACUUACUUCCUACGUGAUGUAGGUACGAUUCUGAGAAAUAGGCUUGUCAUAUAUGUAUACAUGCCACUGAUUACGUAAUACGAGGCUACGUGAUUUAGGCAGGCUGCUGAUAACGACUGUGAAAUAGAAGAGCUUACGUUUCUUGGACCAUCUAAUCAACCAAAAUUCUUGCUUCGUUUUAAAUUGCGUACCAUUGGCUAUAUAAUACUUAAUCUGUUAACAACAUAACAUAGACUAUCAAAACAAUGAAAGAGAUACCGUAAUGGUUAGAAACAAUUUGAAAGAAAUAGCCAUGAAAUAUUCGACAAGUGGUCAUUGACCACAAAAUAAACAUCCAACAUCAAGCAUUGAGAAAGUUAAAAAAUAAACUUUCUUUAAACAAUCAGUACAAGGACGAGAAUUGAAAGAAUAGAAAUUAAUUAAGGUCCCUUUUAUAUGAAAUACAUCUAUCCGCCUAUGAACCUUCAUCAUCAGUAAAUUAGUCUGGAAAAAUAUCUAUUUCUGACUUUGCUCUUCAAAUAUAUUCAAGUCGACUAUUCUACAACAUAAUUUAUAAUUAGAUUGUUCUACAUUACGAUUCUUAUUGAUUUCAUACAUUGACUGAAAAUAAGAAAUUUGAACGACGAGUUAAAAUUUCGAUUAGGUCCAAUUAGUUGAAAAAAGAAGAAAGAAAGAAAAACGACAGCCGGAUAUUUUUCAAUGGUGAUAACGGAUUGUUGAUCGAAGGCUAAGACUCACCGGGCUGAAUGUUGUCACUGUAACAGUGUAUUGUUAGAGCAGUACAAUGAGCGUGUUUAACAAUACCGGCGACCGAUCCGGCCGAUUGUUUCCUCGCCUCUUAACGUUACUGUUGCCAUUAGCCGCGGCGAUUGCGAUUAAUUCGCUACUAAAACAACGUGCGCCUUGCCUGUCCAAUUAUUAUCACGUGCACGAUACUCUAUUACAUGCGAACUAAUCAUAUCGAAAGGUAUAUACUGAGACUCCAGAUAAUUUGUUGCAAAUUAUUUUCAACUAGACCGUCGAUAUUUUUUUAUUAUCUUGGAUCAUUAUGAACAAAGGAUAAGGUCACGCUUAUGAAGGGACGAUAAAUUAUUAGGAAACUCAAUCCUUCGAACCCUUUAAAAAUUAUGACUGACCCAACAAGCGUAAGGAAACACGAAGAAAAAGAGAAUUCUUGUUUUGAUUAGGGAAUGUCAAAGCAAACUGACUCCGGAACACUGGGCUGCCCUUUCUUUCAGUCUCUCCCUACCAAUUUUAUUGGCUUUUUAUGGUGGUUUGUCAUGACUGGUCGUGGUCACGUUCUACAGUCUACAGUAACGCAUUGCAAGCUAUUGUGUCAUGGUUGUAUGUACUUCUUAACUUGUUAAGGGAAGUAUAGAAUCGUAGAAUUGUUUAAAAUUGUUGACUCCUUCUAUUGUUUAAUUAAAUCUCGUGUCACUUUAUUUAGGUAUAAUACAAUAUAGUAUGUACAAUACAAUACAGAGUACAAAAUACUCAUAUUAAACUGUAACAAUAAUAUUAUCGCAGAAUAUACUAUAUUACAGAAGUUUAUAAUUUUCUGUAUAAUUUUAGGAUUGUA